rnacentral:lncRNA from 12 species
GGGGGGGGGGGGGGGGGGGGGGGGGGGGGGGGGGGGGGGGGGGGGGGGGGGGGGGGGGGGGGGGGGGGGGGGGGGGGGGGGGGGGGGGGGGGGGGUGGAAGUUCCCGAGUUCCAGCGCCGCAAGAAUGGGAAGCGAGCGAAGCCAAAAUGCCCCCGGGGAGCGCGGCCCCGCUGGGGAGGCCCGGCACUUCCACAGCCCCCGCUCGCCGCGGCUCCCCCGCAGCCCAGCCCGCUCCUUCGGAGCCAGCCAGGGACCUCGGGGCGCUGCCAGGGCCUUUGGCAUCUGCGCAUCAGACGUGCGGGCUGACGAGUGUUGUCCCUUCCAGGAGCGAUGGCAAGAGGAGGAGUGUUGUCACCGCGAGGACGAGCGAUGGAUGGGGAUGCCUGCAACCCAUGGUUGAACUGGAGGUCGAGCUGGGGCCUUGCGAGAACGAAUGUGUUUGUGGACAAUAAGAAUGAAUUUAGCAGGGAUCAAUGUAAACAGAGGAAGCCGUCAUUUUUUAAAUAUUCCUUUACCCUCAGUUAUUAACUGAUGCAACUUGUGAAGCAAAGAUAAAAGUAUAUUUGAAAUUCUAUAGAAACUAGACAAAGAACUAUUUUUUUCCUAUACAUAAAACCCCCUGAAAUUCUCAACUAUCUAACUUUCAACAAAAUUGAAUUUGAACAACAUUUCUGUGCAGCUGAGGCUAACAUGAGUUGAGCAUUUUUAUACGUGUUUCCAAGGCCUGCAAGCUCAGUGUAGCAGCUCGAGCUUUGUGCUUGACAUGGUGAGAAAGAUUUGCUGCAAUCACCCUUCUGCUUUAUUGAAGAAAUGUUACCCUGAAAGGUUAAAGAAAGGAGGCUAAAAUAUGACUUACUUCCGUUGUCUUAUUAUAAAAAUUAUAUUUAUAUAGUAGAUGUCUAGAUGCAUUUUUUUAUAUACAAUUAUCACAUGUCCUAAAAAAAUCAUUCAAAUACUAAUCUAGAAUUUGUUAUCCUUAGGGUAAAUUAAAAUUUUGUAGGAUAGAUUUUUUUUAAAGCAAGACUGUAUGUACUAGAUUUGAUAAUUGUAUCUGUAGCUAUGAUCACUAUAUAUUUAAAAGUGUACAUGUAUCUCCCUUCCUCAGAUUUGUAACAAUAACCACUCUGUUUCAGCUUCAUUUUAAAUGCACACUUCAAAUAAUUGAAACAGAAAUGAAAUCAUAUUUAAUGUCUAAUAAAG